GAUGAACGCUAGCUACAGGCUUAACACAUGCAAGUCGAGGGGUAACGAGAGGAAAGCUUGCUUUCCUUGUCGACGACCGGCGCACGGGUGAGUAACGCGUAUCCAACCUGCCCCCAACUAGGGAAUAACCUUGCGAAAGUAAGACUAAUACCCUAUAAUUUCCUCAGAUGUCAUCUGACGAGGAAUAAAGAUUUAUCGGUUGUGGAUGGGGAUGCGUCUGAUUAGCUUGUUGGCGGGGUAACGGCCCACCAAGGCAACGAUCAGUAGGGGUUCUGAGAGGAAGGUCCCCCACAUUGGAAAUGAGACACGGUCCAAACUCCUACGGGAGGCAGCAGUGAGGAACAUUGGUCAAUGGGCGGAAGCCUGAACCAGCCAAGUAGCGUGCAGGAUGACGGCCCUAUGGGUUGUAAACUGCUUUUAUACAGGAAUAAAGUUAGCCACGUGUGGUUAUUUGUAGGUACUGUAUGAAUAAGGACCGGCUAAUUCCGUGCCAGCCGCCGCUGUAA
rnacentral:rRNA from 1 species